rnacentral:misc_RNA from 1 species
AAGUCGUAACAAGGUUUUCGUAGGUGAACCUGCGGAAGGAUCAUUACCGAGUGAGGGCCCUCUGGGUCCAACCUCCCACCCGUGUUUAUUUUACCUUGUUGCUUCGGCGAGCCUGCCUUUUGGCUGCCGGGGGACGUCUGUCCCCGGGUCCGCGCUCGCCGAAGACACCUUAGAACUCUGUCUGAAGAUUGUAGUCUGAGAUUAAAUAUAAAUUAUUUAAAACUUUCAACAACGGAUCUCUUGGUUCCG